CAGCCGAGCGGUAGAGUCCUUCGGGACUUUGAGAGCGGCGUACGGGUGCGUAACACGUGUGCAACCUACCUUUAUCAGGGGAAUAGCCUUUCGAAAGGAAGAUUAAUACCCCAUAAUAUAUUGAAUGGCAUCAUUUAAUAUUGAAAACUCCGGUGGAUAGAGAUGGGCACGCGCAAGAUUAGAUAGUUGGUGAGGUAACGGCUCACCAAGUCAAUGAUCUUUAGGGGUCCUGAGAGGGAGAUCCCCCACACUGGUACUGAGACACGGACCAGACUCCUACGGGAGGCAGCAGUGAGGAAUAUUGGACAAUGGGUGAGAGCCUGAUCCAGCCAUCCCGCGUGAAGGAUGACGGUCCUAUGGAUUGUAAACUUCUUUUGUAUAGGAAUAAACCUACUCUCGUGAGAGUAGCUGAAGGUACUAUACGAAUAAGCACCGGCUAACUCCGUGCCAGCAGCCGCGGUAAUACGGAGGGUGCAAGCGUUAUCCGGAUUUAUUGGGUUUAAAGGGUCCGU
rnacentral:rRNA from 1 species